ensembl:lncRNA
CCAAAUAGUACCUACUCUGCGAGGGUCCUGUGGGGGUCUUGACCGUUGAAGGACAGGGUAACAAAGUAUGCGGAGAAGCAGGUGGGCUGCAGACUGCUCCUGUGUGGUCAGUGGAGCUGACAAAAUGGACUUUGAUGUUAUGGCUGUUUGGUGAAUGUGCACUAUUAUACGAAUCCCAUAAAAACUCUUUUCUAAGUGUUUGUUUGUUUCAGGUGGAUCUCAGCAAAACAUUGACAGUCAGAAGCUCCAUCCAAUGUUUGGCCUGAUGGCAGCAGGUGCCAGCUUCCUCAGCAGUCUUUCGGUGACAACCAGGCGAGAAGCCGAAGCCCUGUGGGAGCAAAACUUUCAGAAUGCAGAGGUGCGGGACAAUGUUGAGGACUUGCUGCGGUUAGAAGAGUGUUUCUCUGGGUCAGUAUCUGGGCAAAGGGCAGAAACUCCUGCUGGUUCUGCUCAGGCAUUUCGGAUGACUGCCGUGACGAGAUCACUUGACCGAGCUUCGAGACAACAAGGCUCUUCUAGAGGCUCAGUCGGUGCAGGUUCUGGUGGUUUCGUACGGUUCUCUGGAGGGGGCAGAGUUUUGGCUGGCUCAGACAGGCUAUGAGUUCGACAUGGUGUUUGACCCCGAGCGUAAGGUUAGACAGCACUAACCACUUUGUCUGACCGCUGCACUCAAACAAAUGCGGGGAGAAAAACAAGCUAAUUGGGCUGGGUCAUUGUAACAGAACACACACUGGGUUAAUAAACUCAAGGUAGAUCUCUAAGCUGUAAUGCACAGCCAUACACACUCCUCUGUGUGCCAUUAACUCACCUGUGUUCACCCCAUUUACAUCCACUGAUUAAAAACAGAAUGUAAGACAAACAAAAGACGCAUUUUUGUCCUCAGCACCUUUUUUUUAAUUGAUUUACUAACGUUAGCUAGGAUAGCUAUGUAGUUAUUAAGUAAAUAAGAGUAAUGUUAAAUCAUCAUAGAAAUGUCUAAUUAAAAAUGACCUAGUAUUCAGCAAUAGAGUUAGAAAAAUGUCAUAUCUGAGGCUGCGACUGUCACUGAGCCUCCAAUAAGACAGUGGAAACAAACCUAGUGAGCUAAAGUGACCAUGAGUCUCAUAUCAGACCACCAGUCUCAUAUCAUGUAGAUCUUUCUUGAAAUAAAGCAAUUACAUAAAAACAUCGAUAUUUACUGAAAGUUUACUUAGUGAUUUCUGUCCACUGUGACUCCGUCCUGCUGCGUGAUGAGGAGCAAUUUCACCGACUCGAUUCUAACAAGCGCUGUUAUGAUUUAAAAAUGAAAUCUGGAGCCAGGUUCUUACUGUAAUACAGUCACUAACCAGCGGCUGUGCUCCCCAAAAACUACCCAAAAACUCCCCAGCACUGUGGAAAUGACCAAACAAAACAACCCAACAAAUGAGCCAUCACAGCAUUUGGGAAGAGUUAUUGGAGCAUAUAGCACUAUAGAAUUCAGUCGUCUGGUAGUAGUGAGUCAAGGCAACUGGCCUUUAGGUACAACCACAUUCAGAUAUCAGAAAACAUUAGGAACUCACUAAAAUUUUGGCUGCCAAAUAAUUUGGGCUAAAAAUGGGCAAAGGUGGUGCUUUUGGUUCUCCAGUCAGAAAAACAAAAGAUUAACCUCUUCAACUCCUUGAAAUCACCGGUGGUUCCAAAACACACUUCGUCAUGUUCUUCAUAACUUUCAUAUUUCAUAAGCUCCAUUCACAAGCUGGGAGUCGUAUGAGGCUGUAACUCUUCUUUCCAUUCAAAUAGACGGUGAUGUCAUUUUAAACCCUUAUAAUAAAAGAAGCUGAACCCACAACAUCUUUUUCUACUGAAAGUCGAGCCAUUUUUCCGCAAAUCUGGGCUAUAAACUACAAACAGAUGGCGUCUCUUCAGUGAUCUGCUCUGUAAAAACUAUUAUUAGAAAAUAAUACAAAGGGCGUCUGAGAUUUUUGGCUUUCAGCAGC